GCGGGAGUCAUCUAUUGUAGAAGUCCGGAUGGGGAUUUUUUGUUGGAGAAGUCUGGUUCCAUGAGGAAUCUGGCAGAGGGUCGGCCGGUGGUGGACUUCGGAUGGCGUUGGAGAGGUUCGUCUGCUGGAGGAGUCUGGGGGAUCUUGUGGAAGUCUGGAUGGCAUUGUUGAAAUCCAACUGAUGCUAUUGAAGGUUGAUGGCUUGGGAGGUUCGAAAGAUACCAGAGGCGAUCGAUCGUUGUAAAAUUCUAGCUGCUGGAGCCC
rnacentral:lncRNA from 1 species